rnacentral:rRNA from 1 species
AUUGAACGCUGGCGGCAUGCUUUACACAUGCAAGUCGAACGGUAGAGGGGGUAACCCCUUGAGAGUGGCGAACGGGUGAGUAAUGCAUCGGAACGUGCCCAGUCGUGGGGGAUAACGCAGCGAAAGCUGUGCUAAUACCGCAUACGAUCUCUGGAUGAAAGCGGGGGACCGAAAGGCCUCGCGGGUUUGGAGCGGCCAAUGUCAGAUUAGGGAGGUGGUGGGAUAAAAGCGUACAAAGCCGACGAUCUGUCGCUGGUCUGAGAGGACGACCAGCCACACGGGGACUGAGACACGGCCCAGACUCCUACGGGAGGCAGCAGUGGGGAAUUGUUCGCAAUGGGCGCAAGCCUGACGACGCAACGCCGCGUGGGGGAUGAAGGUCUUCGGAUUGUAAACCCCUGUUGGGUGGGACGAACACUUUCGUGGUGAAUAUCCACGGAGGCUGACGGUACCACCUGAGGAAGCCCCGGCUAACUCUGUGCCAGCCGCCGCAGUAA